GCCAGUGUGAUGUAGUGGUUUGAGUGUUGGACUACAAUUCUGGAGACCAGGCUUCUAGGGUUCGAUUCCCAGCUUGGCCA